rnacentral:rRNA from 1 species
ACCGCUUUCGGGCGGGGAUUAGUGGCGAACGGGUGAGUAACACGUGGGCAAUCUGCCCUGCACUCUGGGACAAGCCCUGGAAACGGGGUCUAAUACCGGAUAUGACUGUCCAUCGCAUGGUGGAUGGUGUAAAGCUCCGGCGGUGCAGGAUGAGCCCGCGGCCUAUCAGCUUGUUGGUGAGGUAGUGGCUCACCAAGGCGACGACGGGUAGCCGGCCUGAGAGGGCGACCGGCCACACUGGGACUGAGACACGGCCCAGACUCCUACGGGAGGCAGCAGUGGGGAAUAUUGCACAAUGGGCGAAAGCCUGAUGCAGCGACGCCGCGUGAGGGAUGACGGCCUUCGGGUUGUAAACCUCUUUCAGCAGGGAAGAAGCGAAAGUGACGGUACCUGCAGAAGAAGCGCCGGCUAACUACGUGCCAGCAGCCGCGGUAAUACGUAGGGCGCAAGCGUUGUCCGGAAUUAUUGGGCGUAAAGAGCUCGUAGGCGGCUUGUCACGUCGGUUGUGAAAGCCCGGGGCUUAACCCCGGGUCUGCAGUCGAUACGGGCAGGCUAGAGUUCGGUAGGGGAGAUCGGAAUUCCUGGUGUAGCGGUGAAAUGCGCAGAUAUCAGGAGGAACACCGGUGGCGAAGGCGGAUCUCUGGGCCGAUACUGACGCUGAGGAGCGAAAGCGUGGGGAGCGAACAGGAUUAGAUACCCUGGUAGUCCACGCCGUAAACGGUGGGCAC